rnacentral:rRNA from 1 species
AUUAUGGAGAGUUUGAUCCUGGCUCAGGAUGAACGCUGGCGGCGUGCCUAAUACAUGCAAGUCGAGCGAACGGACGAGAGUGCUUGCACUCUCUGAUGUUAGCGGCGGACGGGUGAGUAACACGUGGGUA